UGGGGAAUAUUGGACAAUGGGCGAAAGCCUGAUCCAGCAAUGCCGCGUGAGUGAUGAAGGCCUUAGGGUUGUAAAGCUCUUUCGGCGGGGACGAUGAUGACGGUACCCGCAGAAGAAGCCCCGGCUAACUUCGUGCCAGCAGCCGCGGUAAUACGAAGGGGGCAAGCGUUGUUCGGAAUUACUGGGCGUAAAGGGCGCGUAGGCGGCUCUAGAAGUCAGACGUGAAAGCCCCGGGCUUAACCUGGGAACUGCACUUGAUACUCCAGAGCUUGAGUUCGGGAGAGGAGAGUGGAAUUCCCAGUGUAGAGGUGAAAUUCGUAGAUAUUGGGAAGAACACCAGUGGCGAAGGCGGCUCUCUGGACCGAUACUGACGCUGAGGCGCGAAAGCGUGGGGAGCAAACAGGAUUAGAUACCCCGGUAGUCC
rnacentral:rRNA from 1 species